rnacentral:rRNA from 1 species
UACGUAGGUGGCAAGCGUUGUCCGGAAUUAUUGGGCGUAAAGCGCGCGCAGGCGGUCCUUUAAGUCUGAUGUGAAAGCCCACGGCUCAACCGUGGAGGGUCAUUGGAAACUGGGGGACUUGAGUACAGAAGAGGAAAGCGGAAUUCCACGUGUAGCGGUGAAAUGCGUAGAGAUGUGGAGGAACACCAGUGGCGAAGGCGGCUUUCUGGUCUGUAACUGACGCUGAGGCACGAAGGCCAGGGGAGCAAACGGG